AGAUAGCAAUCAUCCUGGUUGUUAAUCUUCAGCAAAGCUCAUGGGAAAGCAGUGUCUGGAUGCUAUGGGAGCAGUUGACCAGAUCCUUUGAAAGACCACG